AUGUUUACUUUGUAGCCUUCAUGCGAAUAUACAAAUUUUUGAGCUUAGAUCCGUUAAAUAAUUUAGAAUUUAAUUUAACGUCUUUGGCCAUACUUUCAAAAUCUUCAGUUCCGUACUUAUUUAUAAGUCUUUGAAUAUAUGCAUGUUCAAAUGCACUUAAAGGAAGCAUUUUGUUAGACUGUCGAGCUGCUUUUUUUACAGCUUCUUCUUCUAGUUGACGAACAACCU